rnacentral:rRNA from 1 species
UACGUAGGGGGCAAGCGUUGUCCGGAUUUAUUGGGCGUAAAGCGCACGUAGGCGGCUUUGUAAGUUAGAGGUGAAAGCCCGGGGCUCAACCCCGGAAUUGCCUUUAAGACUGCAUCGCUAGAAUUGUGGAGAGGUAAGUGGAAUUCCGAGUGUAGAGGUGAAAUUCGUAGAUAUUCGGAAGAACACCAGUGGCGAAGGCGACUUACUGGACACAUAUUGACGCUGAGGUGCGAAAGCGUGGGGAGCAAACAGG